rnacentral:rRNA from 1 species
AUGAUGGAGGACUCUUCAACUAGGAGCCAUGUUUUUGAGGGGAAUCGGCUGGGCUAUGUAAGAAGUGAAUCCAUGGAUUCCGCUGGCCAUCCUUCGGCUGCUAGGUCAGGCUCACUGCUAAGUAGGAGAAGUAGCAGGCCCAGUUCAAGGGGAUCCAUCAGCCUCUCUCGCGAGAUGGGCGACUCGAUCCUGAACUCAAUGAGGCAUUCCCUUCAGUCAGCAGACCAGUUGCUUGGUCAUGCUGAUAGCUCGGCUUUGGCUCAGGUCAUUGACAGUGGUGACCGAGUGCUAGCCUUGGAAGAUGAGGCCGAUGAAGAUAUGGCAAAUACAUUGGAUCAACAUCCUGUCCGAGAUAAUCGAAUCCAUGGCUACAGCUCACAUGGCACAGGUCUGCCAGCACCUGAGUCUUCUCUGGAGCCAAAGGGCGAGAGCUCAUCAGGCAAGGUUGAACAAUAUAUGCUUUCUCGGAGGCUAGAUUAUGCUUCUUACCUGAUCCAUUUAGCCGCCUUUGGAUCAUUCGGGGUAUUUACAAGGUACGGGCUCCAAAAGCUGUUCGGCCCAGGCUGCCUGGCACUCACCUCCAACCAAAGCCCGUUGUACCUUGAUCUUCCAUCAAACAUGCUAGGAUCCUUCCUGAUGGCCUGGUUUGGGAUAAUCUUUAAGACUGACAUUCGGCACAUAUCUGAACAUCUCAUUGUUGGAAUCACAACCGGAUACAUGGGAAGCCUUACCACCUUCAGUGGGUGGAAUCAAGCGAUGGUUAGCAUGUCUUCCAAAGACCAUUGGGCAUAUGCCAUAGCUGGCAUAGUAUUAGGAAUGUUCAUCGUCAAUGAGUCCAUCAGGGUGGGCGCCGAAACAGGUGAGCGCCUACGAAGCUGGAUCCUGAAAUGCAUCAAGGAAAAUAGUUCAAUAGGAAGCAACUGUAACUGGGAGCAGCUGAAAGUCAACACUAGGACUAAACAUUUUGUGCUUAUAGCAGUUAUGAUGAUUUUGCUUUCUUUUGUGUGGGUUCUGAGUAUCGUGUUGGCCAUAAUAAAGGUGCGCAAUCUUGAUGAUGGCGCUGUACUAUGGUUGGGGUGCUCGGUUGCGCCUCCAGGCGUUUGGUUACGCUGGUACUUGGCAAGGCUCAAUGGCCAGGGAAUCGGCAAACAGAGAUCCCUCAAAUGGCUGCCCAUUGGGACACUUGUAGCCAAUGUUCUUGCUGCGGGUAUCAUGGCAUCACUGGCUGUGACCGCCAAAGCGGUGAAUACAAAGCGUUCGACAACUGUUCUUAAUGGCAUACAGUUUGGUUUCCUUGGCUGCUUGAGCACAGUGUCUACUUUUGCUGCUGAAAUCUAUGCUAUGCGAAGCAGCGGACAGAUUGGUAGGGCCUUUGUCUAUGCUGCAGCGACCUUCGUGCUCUCUUUCGUGCUGGGAACUCUGGUAUACUCUGUGCCAGUAUGGGUCAAUCAUUACCAAUAG